GAUCAUGGCUCAGGAUGAACGCUAGCGACAGGCUUAACACAUGCAAGUCGAGGGGCAGCGAGGGCGUAGCAAUACGCCUGUCGGCGACCGGCGCACUGGUGAGUAACACGUAUGCGACCUGCCCCCUACAGGGGUAUAACCCGUAGAAAUGCGGACUAAUCCCCCAUAGUCCUGGGUGCUGCAUGGCAUUCAGGGGAAAGGCCAGCCGGUAGGGGAUGGGCAUGCGGCGCAUUAGCUAGUUGGCGGGGCAACGGCCCACCAAGGCGACGAUGCGUAGGGGUUCUGAGAGGAAGGUCCCCCACACUGGUACUGAGACACGGACCAGACUCCUACGGGAGGCAGCAGUGAGGAAUAUUGGUCAAUGGGCGCAGGCCUGAACCAGCCAAGUCGCGUGAGGGAUGACGGUCCUACGGAUUGUAAACCUCUUUUGUCGGGGAGUAACGUGCGGGACGCGUCCCGUAUUGAGAGUACCCGAAGAAAAAGCAUCGGCUAACUCCGUG
rnacentral:rRNA from 1 species